CUCUGCGUGCGGCCCGCUUGGCCUCAGAGCGUGCUGCAUUAAAGCUAAAGAUCUGGCGGGAUUUGUUGGUGAAAGAACAAGUUCAAACGCAGCCUUUUAAUUUAACGUUCAAAUUAAAAAAUCUGUGAUAUAAUGACAGACUCUGCAGAGCGCUUGCCGGACCAGGACUUCUCUGGCUGCCAAGGCAGGCACAGGGAAGAAAUCUCUCAAGGGAACGCUGGUGGAAAAGUCCCAGGAAUAUAAUUGCUUGACUAGUUCAGUGGUGGGAGAUGUUGAAGAAAUUUGGGCAUGUUAAUAUUCAGUCGUGGAACCUGUCAUUCAGUGCUGAUGCUGAAAGUUUACACGUGUUUAUAGCAUGGGAGGAUCGUAGUUCUGCAGACUGACAGACACUGAUAAUUGUCCAUUAGAGCAUCAUUUUGGUGGGUAGUUGCAAUCGCGUAGGUAAGAGAGUCAGGGUGGGGUCAUGACUCUCAGUCCUUCAGAAUGGUAAUUCUCAAGGUUUUCAGGGUCCCUGAACACUUCUAACCUGCUUUUGCAUAGAUACAAAGUUAGUGAAACCACUUCACACCUGUUGAGUUGAAGAGUUUAGUGUCUGGAAUUAGGCCAGCAGCAUUACACAACACCAACAAAUAUAAAUCUUAUAUUUAGCUACUUACCAACUGAGAAAUAAUUUAUUUUUGUUUUUAAUUUUUGUGGCGUCACAAGGAGAAAAACAAAUUUUGGUUUAUUUAUGCAAUCCAUAAUUAAUACAUCAUAAAAUCUGUCACUGAAAUUUGUCCCUUGCAUACAGUUUUGGAGAAUUUUAUGGAUCCUAUUCUAAGAUUAGUGACAAAGUUGUCUCCAGACAUGUUUCUUCAGUGCUUUUCUGUUCACUAGAAUUAGAACCUUUUACUGGGAAUUGCUGAUGGAGAAAUUUGCCCUUAAAUUUUCAGGAAUGGCUUUUAACAGUUACUGGUCUUAAUCUUUGAGUCAGGGAUUUCAGCUUGUCUGUAAGCUAUGCUAGCAAAUCAAAUAGGAUUUUUUUUUUGUUCUAUAUUGGGCUGUUUUGUCAAAAGUAACUGACAAAAUGUUUGUUAAGUUCUAAAAAACCUUACUGUACCAUGGAAGGUCUGGGGGACAGCAGAAAGCAUUUUUUCCAAGGAAUGCAAGAGCAAGAAGGAUGAACUAGUCAUGCAAGAAUAAUUAAUCUUUUGAAUUGAAUAAAUGUGAAAUUAAUUUAUCAGUUCCUGAUACAAGCCCUCUAAAUUGUGGAAAUUUCUCAGAAUAUUGCAUCUUCUUUGUUAAUGAGGAUACAAACAUUGAGAACAGUGAGUUCUGCCACUAUACGUGGCACAAAUUGAUGUACACAUCAAGUUAGCAUUACCAGUUUACAAAUCAAAUAAGGGUUCUAAGUAAUAAAAUUAUAGAUCUACCCUGGAAGAGAACAUUUACUUGGAAAUUUCUUCAUGGUAUUUUGCUGGCUGUUUGUGCCAUCAUGGGGUUUGUGUGCAGUGGAGACUGUUCUUAGCUUAUCUGUGCUGUGAUCUUCCUGGAUUCCUGAAAAGUCAGUAAGACCAGGAGGGAUGACAAGAAAAGCCUUCUGGAGUUGUCAGCUUCUAUUUGCUGUCCAUUACAACAUGCUUCUUAUUGAAAACCACCCAAAAAUAUUUACAAGAGAUGUGGAGGGAAAAGAAACUGAAAACCAAGAAUGGGAGUAGAUGAAAAACAGUAGAGCAACACUGUGCAUCAGGAAAUUGCCAGAAAUUUCUAAAGACGAGGCAUCAGGAAGAAUAUAUAAACUGUAGAAAAAAUUCCAGUAAAUGAGAAAGUUCAGUUUCAAAAUGUCUUUUUGGGGGCGGGGUUGAGAUCGCAGUCAGAGCACACGAAGCAUUCUGGAUGCCGGUAUUUAUCACGUGCCUUCACCACUGUCCCUCUGUAUGGAAACAAGUUCCUCUUCUCUCCCUUGGAGUACAUCGUCCCACAUCAGUGAAAGCAGAAGAAUAGCUUCCAGGAGACUCCUGGUCUACUGAAAACAAAAAUUAUGUGAAACUACGAUAAACAAAAUCAUUUGAAUCUGUGAUGCUGCUUGCUUUCAUUUAGGGGGGUGAAAAGAUACUGAAAUCUAUUAUUUUACAUUUAAUAGAAAGAAAAGCACCUGGUAUGAAGGUUAAGAGCACCUUUAAAUGAAAAAAAAUUACUAACUUUAAGCAAAGGCUAAGGCUGUCCUCUGAUCCAGAGCAGAAGGAACUCUAUGAUUGAGGAUCAAGAGUGUAUUUAUUUAUUUAUUUCCUCACUGUGGAAAGGGCUGCUCCCCUGCUGGGCCAAGGGGAAGACAUGACAGCUCAGACUCCAUCAGGUUGCACGAUGUUGUUUUGGAAUGCCAGCAAUGUAAACACAUAAUUACAUGCAAAACACAUGAUUCAAGCAUGCUUCAAUGAGAAAAUGUGAAGAAACAUUAUUUCCUCCUAAGUGAUCUAAGAUGCAUUUCUACUUUACCAGGGGCACAUGUUAGGCAGCACAAGGGAAUUUAAAAGGAUGUUACUUGAUAAAAACAACUCUGUUUUAAGAGAUGGAAUACAAACCAUAUUACUCACCAAUCUAUGUGGCAGACUUUCUAAAGCACAGUUUACCAAUGUUUAUUACAGGAUGGUGAAUAUUUUCUUAUGUUUUGAUAAGGAUAAACUCAAAACCUUAUACACUGUAUAGUUCUGCAAGUUGCAAAUGUGAAAUGAAAAUAGAACUAUUUAAUGAACUGCUGAGAAGUACUGUUUUAGUCUCCUACUACCACAGUGGUACUUUCUAGUGGAAAUGUGAUUUAAAUUUGUCUUCCUUUGACUUCAUUCCCACACUCUGUCAUAUAUUUCUAAAGAAAUACAAGUGCAACAUAGAAAAGAACUGAAAGCAUUUCAUCCGUUCUAAGUGGUUAUUGGCUAAGCCAUGAAAACUUGUGGCUAUUGAUAAAUAAAAUGGAGGUAAAGAGUUAACAUUAUUAUUUAUGCCACUGGUUGUAAACACGUCAUUCCCAGUAAGUAUAUCAUAGCCCUAGUUCUGGACAGCUUUUUUUUGAUAUGGCAUGUGUUCCUGAAUGAGGAUGUACACCUACUGCAUAAACCUAAAGAUACAAUUAAUGACUCCAAACACAUCUAUUUCUUUUUCUUAAAUUUCUAGCAGUAAGAGAAGGAUAUUGGAAAGGAGUGAAAAUGCAGAACCUUUAGGACAAAAAAAUCUCCCUUUUCUCUACAGCUCCUUAUGCAGUCAAUACUGGUAGUUUUCAGUCAUCUGCUAUGACCUUCAGGUCUCUGUGUGGCUAUAAGAGGUGCACACACAUCCAACAAAACAUGAAAACUUGAUUAGAAGUAGAGCUCAGCCAUGACUGGUGCUGAUGGAAACUAAUUGAAUAUUCUGCUUUACUCAUUCUCCAUGCUGCUUUAGGGAUAUUAAUGUUGACAGAGUAUAUUGCUUUCCUCAUGCCAGGCUCCUUCAUAGCAGCAAAAGCUACAAGAAAACCACAUUUACUUUACACUGUGGAUUUCCUUAUUUUCACAGACUGGAAAAUUCUCAUUUAGCAACUACAAUAUGUGAAGAACACAUUUUUUAACAACUUCAGUCUCAUCAUGUAGUACUUUCUGCCAGGGUUAAUUAUGAUCAGGUCUCAAGUAUGACUAAUUCAAUACUGAACUGCAUUUCAUAGCUGUUUUUUUACCAAAUUUUCUAUUCUAAAUACAACUAGUAUUUAGAAUAGAAAAUUUUGAAAGUUACAAACUAGUAACAACAACUAGUUAAGAAAAGAUGGUAAUCGCUUCAAUUCUGAUUUUUCUUGAAAUACAUGUGCUUCUUGCAAAAGUUACACAAAAAUAUGUGAGAAUAAGAAUAAGGUGGGUCUGAUCAAAUAUUGCAUAAUUUUUAUAUUAAAGACAUUCUCUCUUACAUCCAUUUGGGACUUCAAGAAUAUAUUUUAACUAUUUUUUUCUUUUUUUGAUUAAAAUAAAAGAAAAAUUGAAAAAAACCAGGCAGAGCAACAAACAACUCAAAGCAGUAACUUUAAAAACAGAUUGGUCAUACUUAUCCUGUCACUUUCAUUCAAGUUUUGAUUAUUGAGAAAUUCCCUUCUAUAAAGAUAGGAAAUUUCUCAAAAUUUCAUAGACAUUUUGAAAUUCUAUGGAAAAAAUUAGUUUUGCUGCCACAGAAAUUGGAAGUUAUUCGAACAGUGGAAAUGGAAACUUCCUAAGAUGAUCUUAACAUCUAUUCACAAAAAGUAACACAAAGCAGUGGAUUCAUAAGAAAACAGAAUCGACUUUCUAUGGUACUGGCAGAAUUAACAGCAUUUUUAUCACUUACAUUUAACAAAAUACAUUUUAGAUGUACAUUCUUUUUUCUUAGUGAUAAAGAAAGGCUUAUCUGCAUAUUGUUUUCACUUUGACCAGCAUCUUAUGAUGCAUGAAUUCACUGCUUAAUAACAUAAUCAUAAUUUAUAGAACUAAUUUAGUUUCAAUUAGUUGAAAUGCACUGCUACUUCAGUUGUCCUGAUUACUGUAUUUUGUGAAUAGACAGCAAAUUUAUCUGUCCUCAACACCUAUGUGAAAAUGAUGUCCUUCACUAAGAAUGUUGUGGGAUGAAAGCUUCUUAUAGACAACACAAAGUGGAAUGAGAAAGGGUGGGAAACACAGGGAGUAAGGUUGGAUAAGUCAAUCACAAGGACAGAGGAAGAAAGUUAAUCCACCUUGGAAACACAGUGCACUAUCAUUGUUGUUAGUUGCAUCCAUGUCUGGAAAAGAGGCACUAAGAGGUAAUCUUCCACAAUCAUUCUGGUACAGUGGACAAUGGAUAGCACCAUCUUGAGGCAGUGGAUGAAAAGGCUGGUGCGUGGGACUCUUUUUCAGAGCUUUAAGAGAUGAAUUCCUUUCUGGAAUGUCUGGAAGCAGCUCAGUAAUAAGUCUGUGUAAUAUACUGUUGUCGGGCAAGCUUCCCCGCCUUUUUUCAGCUUUGAUUUGGUCACAGAUGUCUUUAAGUGCAGAAUCUAGUGCUUCAAACACAGAUGACUUGCAUUUUUUCUUUUCAGUUUGUUUUUUAGGAGCUGCACUUUUUUUCCUCCGGAAAGGCACUGGACUGACGAGGAAUGCUAUCUUAGACAGGCCGGAUUCUGCCUCCUGUCUCCUUGGAUCUUCAGUGGUUUCUUGCUUAGCCCUUUCAUGUUUUAGCAUGGUGGUGAACCGGGUGUAGGAUGCUGGGCAUCGCCCUUUGCAGGAGCUGAUGAGAUGCCUGUGGUGGUGGUGGUGGUGGUGGUGGUGAUGGCCUGAUCCAUAAAAGCUUUCAGAUGAAGUGAAGGAAAAGUGAUCAAAGUCACUUUCACUACAAAAGGAUGAACCCUCUAUCUGGAUAAAGUCACUGAGAUCAGAAACCACUCCAUCUUGAUCGCUGUCUGAAAAAUCUAUAUGUGAUCGUUGUGGCUCAUCACUGGUCACUUCAAUAUGAAUUGGCACCAGGGUUUUAGACUUGUAGCUCCGUUGUACCUGAGAGGGAUGUCUGACUGGAGUUUCUUCUUCCAGCAGGGAUUCGAUAGAAAAUCGCCUCUGUGGACACAAGCCAUUUUUAGGAGGCUCUAAUGUAACAGUUGACAACAUGUCAUCACCAAGGUUCGGCAUUGAUUUUGACUUCUGAAUUAACUUUUCAAAUUCAGAUAUUCUGGUUGGCACCAUGUCUCUGGGCACCUCCUCAGUAGAAGACUCUCUCCAGCCUUGAAGUAUACCUUUGUGCUGCUCUUUUUCAUAUUGCAGUAUUCUGGACUUGACAGAACAAAUCACCUCAGAAUUCAUCAAGUCCUUGCGAUUGAUGCGGUGCAUCUUUUUGUACAUCUUCAGGAAACCUGGAGCAUCAUGUGCAGAUCUGUGACGAACUCUUGACCUACCACUACCACGGCCCUCAACAUAUGGGGAGUUCCAGUUCAUUGAGCAAAUUUCUUUGGAGUCCUCCUCACACAAGAGAGAGCCCAUGCUUUCAGCCUUGGCCUGUGCAUCGGGAUAGUUAUCGUGAUCAUCUGUCAACAGGUCAUCACAGCUACGAGAUUUCCUCUUUGGAGAAGCAGCUUCCUCUGUGCUACUCCAGACUUCUGCAUUUUGCCGAGUCAUUUGCCAGCCAUUCUUGUAGCUGGUUGCCCUUCUUGAAUCAUUUGGAACAGCUAAAUGUUGUCUGUAAGUGCUACAGUAAUCUAAUUCAUUUGAGGUGUUGUGGUUGUGCACUGAGUAACUUAAAAGGGAUGGAUAUACUUUGCUAAUAUCCCCACCUUUAUAAUCCAUAGAGCAGCAUGGUAAAAAAGAGACAUUGCCAGAAAUUAAAAGAUUCAGAAAGUUGGAAUUAGCAUCAGUAAGUAUUACAAAGACUAGAAAAGAGAGAACAAUUAGUGCAUCUAUCAGCUUAGGUUAGUACAUAGUUUGUUACAGCUUAGGAAUGCAGAGCUAAGUAUUAAGUUAUUUUCCAGGUGCAAAAAUGCACUCAUAAUAAUUUGAACAACAAAAGAAUUCCUUAUUAAAUAUGGAGACGUUAUCUCCUCUACAAUCCCUGCCACUAAAACAAUAUAAGAAACCAGGCAUCAAUUGGGGAUUAAUUGGGAUUUUUAAGCAGGUCAGCAGACAAUAGAAACUGCAAAGGAUUUAAAGAUGAAGCCACACAACAAAUCUAGACCUCAGCAUAACACUGACUUUUCCAACUGGGCAUUCUGAAAAAGAUGUUUAUGAUUUUUAACCUGUAUAAUGCCCAGAGUUCACAGCAUCCACAUAUUCUAAGAUAGUUAAAAUAAAGAUAAAUUUUUGGAAAAUAGGAUCAAAAUAGGAAAUAGAUCAAAUAGGAAAUUUCUCCAAGUCAUUCACAGGUAGCCUGCUCCUUCCCUGUGUGACAGCACUGGAGGGAGCAGUGCUUUGUACAGCCUAUGCAGGGCAGAAUAAGACAGCUCAAGAAGUGUUAUAAAAGUGUAAAGGAAGGUGUAUCAGUUCACUGAGCCUAUCCACAAUGUAGAAGUAAAAAUAACCCUUAGAUUGACUUCCAUAACAAAGGCCUGAUUUUUCAAGCUUUAAGACGUAUUUUUAUGUGCAUGGUAGAUAUAGAAGACAUUAUGAGACAAAUCUGGAACGGAGGUCUUUCAUAAUUGUACUGAACUUUCAAAAAUAGUCUCAAGUGGCAACAUUCAGUUCAGGAAGGAUGCUUCAAACAGCUCAGUCUGCUUUCUAAAAAAAAUGGAACCUAGAUCUGAAACUGAAACACUUGAGUUCAAAAAUUCCUGAUGAUCAAACAGUUCAUAAUGUGCCUCUUCUUUAACAAAUUGGUUAAUUUCAAUAAAAAUUAACAUUCUACAGGGGUUAUAAUGCUGGAAGAGAACAGUGUCCCCUUCUGAAAACUAACUGGCUGUAGAAGAUAUUCUUAAUGGAAGGAUUUUUAAACACAGGAAUUGUUGAAGUCAUGCUUAGUAUUUGUUAUUGGUGGUGGAGUCAAAGGCACACACAGGCAAGUGGAAUCUAUUAACUUUUUACUGCCUGGCCUGGUAAGCCAAAAGGAUGAGUUAUUCCACUUUUAAAAUCACUGCUACAACAGUUCAAAUGUUUCAAAUGUUUAAAAUACAUUUGCUUUUCAACCACCUCACUCUUAAUGUUCCUCAUUUCUUUUCUUUGACACCUUCUGUUGCAGUCUGGGUAUUAUGUUAUUUUCACUGAGAAUUUACUUUUACAAAGGUUUACUGAUAGCUACAAAAUAGAGCAAUUAAGAGAAUAAUACAAAUAAUUUGAACAGAAGGAGACAUAUUAUAUUCAGUAUUAUUCUAUAUAUUACUUCCAUUUUAUGUUUUACUGGAAGCUUUUUUGUCUUUCUAGAAAAUCCCAUCCAAACCUCCAAACUCAAAUGAACAAGUGAUUCUGUGAUCUCUUUCCUGGAGAGUUGUGAAAAACAGUAAUAGGAUGGUGAGUUACUUGACAAAAAUAAGCUAAUUAGAUUGAAUUAGCUGUACUAAAUACUUCCAAGGAUUUAGAAAGUAAAAAACCAGCCAAUGGAUGCUUUCUUGAUUAAAUCAGGUCCUGAUAACUAUGGAUAUUUUCUUGAUUAUAUUAUAUCCUGAUAACUGACAGCUAAGACAUCAGCUAUGGAUUUAAAAGGUCUACUAUCCUGGAUACACAUAUUUAAUCUUACACGUUAUUUGUCUCAAUUUACUUUCUCAAUAUAAUAAAACUAGUUUUAAAAUCACAAUAAUCUAGUAAGAGAGUAGUAGAAUUAAUAAAAAUAUUAGGGUUUAUAUAUUGUGCUAGAAUUCUUUUAGUCAAUUCUCUUUUGUUAGAACAAGCAGUUGAAACUGGAAAAUCCUGUGACAAAUACAGCUUUCCAGCUUAAAAUUACACCUGUAAGAAUAAACAAGUCAGCCUUUCAUGGAAGGCCAAAUCUGUUGCUUCACAUCACAUCCCCUGGGGACAGGCACUGAGCGACAGCAGGCAGCUGCUACCAACAUAUAGUACAACGCAUCCCCAGUAGUUUUCUGCUAACUAAUGUGGUCUCCUCUUACCUUUAGCUCGUGAUGGAGAAGAAGGAGAUGAGCUAGUUAAAGGCUUCCUAAGGGUGGAACAUGAGCCCUGUGUGUCUGUACGGCCCAGGUUAGCUCUGUUGGCGUUCUGAUCGCUGUGUGCCCUCUGGUGACUUACAGCAGGCUCUGACUUCCUUCUCUUUCUGUAGUCACUUGCAGUACUUGCAGAACUACAGGAAAAAGCAGUAUCAGCAGCAGUCUGAGAUCAGAAUCCAGGGAUUUAAAAAGAAACAAGUCCAUAGUUUGGAUGAUACUUGAGUAAAACGGGAAUAUUUAGCAGAAUUGCAGACACUGGAGAUGGAAACAUACAUCAAAACAACUUUUGUACCACCCUAUCAGUGGCUUCCUGAAAUAAGAAAAAAAGGAGCUGUAUCACCAAGUCUGGAUAGAACAAAUGGCCUCUCCUACUCAGAGACUAACUAUUGAAGACAGCUCCUACAGUACAGACUGUUCUGAAACACAAUAAACAGGACAAUACCACUAAUGAGAAUAAAAAUCUUUAAUGAUGCUGAUGGUUGCAUCAUGAAUAAGAAAAACCACUUCUUUAGCACACUGAAGAAAGGACAGCAUCAUGCAUGAUGCCCAGACUCCUGGCAAUGAUCACCUCUCAUCACCUGCCUGGCCCUUGAAUAAAGCCCUUGAAGUCACAUUAUUCUGGAGCUGCUAUUUUAUCCCCCGUUAUAUUCUGCAAUUGGAGUACUGCACUUAGCAAGAACACCUUUUGAAAAUGCACUGACGUACUUUUCUGGUGUAGACCGUUGCCUCAUACGAUGUGGUGGUACUGGUGGUGGCACGUGGGGUGGCAAAGGGGACGAGACCUUAAAGGCAUCGGAGCUACUGUCAGAAGCACUUUUGGACAGUGGUCUGUAUGUCUGUGUCUUUGCAGCUGGGUGUGCCUGAGCAGAGAAGGAUGGACUGUAGCUACCUAAUAUAAAACAAAACCAGAAACAGUCAUAACAUGAGAAAUUCCUGUAACAAAUUCUGGAAGACAGUGAAGAUUGAGUCAGUCUUGGACUCAAAGUCUUCAGAUGGUAUAAUGGUUCAGAACAUCAGAAUUACUGCAAGAUCAACAGUUCAUCACCUUAGUGCCCUAUGUCUGACAAUGAUGAAUGCUAGAUUCUAUGCAGGAAAAUAGAAACACCUCAGCAGUUAUGAUUACAAGCAGGUAUGAAGUGCUUCUUUU